CCCAUGUAGAAAUUCUUUAUAAAAAUCAGCCUAUGGAUGUCUAGUUCGGCAGUAAGCCUUCAUCCUCGUGACCCGGCACGUCAAUCUAGAAAGUGCUCCAACAAUGUUUGGUAAUACUUCAGAAUUUUAGUGGCGAGUGAUAGUUUUGUUGGUGGCCUUUCAGGCGUUGGCCGUUUUGGACAUUGAACGGGGCCACGUCGUCGACGCUACGUUUUACAAGCGCGUUUAUAAAAUCAGACGUCUGUACGAUUAUGGAAGUCGACCCGUGAACAUACCGGAUGGAAACAACCAGGGUUUGGCAAAAAGACCCACGCGUCCCGAUCAAGAGUACCAGUAUGGACCCGACGAAAUACCUUUUAUUUAUUACAGUAAUUA